rnacentral:rRNA from 1 species
UGCCUGCCCAGUGACAACUGUUUAACGGCCGCGGUAUCCUGACCGUGCAAAGGUAGCAUAAUCAUUUGUUCUCUAAAUAAGGACUUGUAUGAAUGGCCGCACGAGGGUUUUACUGUCUCUUACUUCCAAUCAGUGAAAUUGACCUUCCCGUGAAGAGGCGGGAAUGCACAAAUAAGACGAGAAGACCCUAUGGAGCUUUAACUAACCAACCCAAAGAGAAUAGAUUUAACCAUUAAGGAAUAACAACAAUCUCCAUGAGUUGGUAGUUUCGGUUGGGGUGACCUCGGAGAAUAAAAAAUCCUCCGAGCGAUUUUAAAGACUAGACCCACAAGUCAAAUCACUCUAUCGCUCAUUGAUCCAAAAACUUGAUCAACGGAACAAGUUACCCUAGGGAUAACAGCGCAAUCCUAUUCAAGAGUCCAUAUCGACAAUAGGGUUUACGACCUCGAUGUUGGAUCAGGACAUCCUGAUGGUGCAACCGCUAUCAAA